rnacentral:rRNA from 1 species
UACGAAGGGGGCUAGCGUUGUUCGGAAUCACUGGGCGUAAAGCGCACGCAGGCGGAUUGAUAAGUCAGGGGUGAAAUCCCGGAGCUCAACUUCGGAAUUGCCUUUGAUACUGUCAAUCUCGAGUCCGGGAGAGGUGAGUGGAAUUCCUAGUGUAGAGGUGAAAUUCGUAGAUAUUAGGAAGAACACCAGUGGCGAAGGCGGCUCACUGGCCCGGUACUGACGCUCAUGUGCGAAAGCGUGGGGAGCGAACAGG